AUACCCCGAUGAUGUCAGCACUGGGCUCUGAUCGCUGUGAUGAUUUGGGUGCCUUCUGGGGACUUGACACUCCAGAAGACUGAGGGGUUC